GGUGUCCAAAGUGUGGCCUGAUAUUUUGUGGGCCCCAAUUGCAGUUCAAGAAUGACACAAAUUUGUUCAUUGAACAGUUUAUUUUUAAUCAAGGUAAAAUUACUACAGACAUAAUUUUCCAACAAUGUUCUCUUUCCAACCGAGCUUGUAUUAUAAGUAGAACCAGGUAUCUACAGGGACUUUUACUGAAAAGGAAAAAGAUAAUUUAGUAGACUCGGCUAAAUGAAGCCAGCAUUCAGUUAGCCAAGUGGCUCACACCCAGUUCAACCGAACCCAAAAGAAUUUGAGAAACCUAUCAAUCAAUCACGUUUAUUUGUAUAGCACAUUUCAUCAACCAGGCAGUUUGACAUGCAUUGACUAUUGUAUUAGUCCUUUUAACUUAGAAAUGUUCUUCAGGUGAUAGAAGGCUGACUUUGUCAACUGUCUUUAUGUGACUCUGAAGGUUCAGGUCCAUCAUUACACCCAGAUUUCACACCUGAAAGUUCAAAGAUAAUAACUUCAGUUUUGUUUCUGUUCAGCUGGAGAAAGUGAUGGCAGUCUCUCUUGCUCCUACAAAAAAAGUCAGGCACUUUUAUUUGCUUGAUCUUAUUUAUUUUUUCUUGGCUCAUGACGUUUGACUAUGAUUUUGCCCCAUGUGACAAAAGAUUUGGACACACCUGGUGUCUGGUUUCAGCUGUGAAAUCCCCAAGUUUUCAAGUCCAUCAGGUGGCAGAGCUUUGUCUGCAGGCAUCACCAAUCCAUCCAUGAACCGUUCUUUGAACCGUUCUUUGAACCAUUCUUUGAACCGAUUCAUGGACCGUCAGUAGUACGAGGCAUUGUGGGACUGGCUAAGUCUGUUCUAUGAUUGGCUUUUUGCCCUCCCAUCACUCUCUGUUGCUAUCAGAAAUGCUGAGUUGACCCUCUUUUUUCAGAGGCCCCAGCCCUGCGCUCACCCUCCCAACCAGAACAGUUUGCGGCAUCCUAUUAUUCCACAUAGUUGUUUUUACAUCCUGGCUGAACUUUCCUGUGUGAGAGGAUCAUAUAUGUGUGUCUGCAAGGACACCAGGGGCAUAACCUAACAAAUGUGUGGGGUCAAUUGGUUUCCCAAAGGGACUCUACUGAGAAGCUGGCUCACCAAGUCACGGCCCAGAUUGCUGCUGCUGAUUGCAGGGUUAAAGAGGCCCCAGGUGACCCUCAUGAGGAGGAAAAGGAUGAAGCGCACAAAAGUAGCAAAGGCCACGUAAGCGAACCUGCAGCCGAAUGCCCCACUUCUGCUGAGUUCUUGACAGUGAGGAGUUGCUUAUGGAAAUCAAAGGAAAGGACAACCUUUGCGUAACAUAAAUGCUCCAAAAAGAACUAAAAUGCAACAAAUGCUAAACAAAAGGAAGACAGAGAACAAACUGAAGAGAUUGAGAUCUCCAGACUAAAUGAGAAAGCUUUCUUGACCACCCACUUCUGUCACUGUACUGACUGUGACUUUGUACAUCUUUCCUAUAGAUGUGUUGGUAGAUCGCCCCUGCUGUCGUUUUCCUAGUUUAACUCUAUCUGGUUUGAGUUUGUACGCAGCUCAAACUAGUUACUGAUUAAACUCUGUAUGUUUAACCCACCACUGUCUCACAUUCUUCAGUCAAUGCUUUUCAAAUAGCAAUUACUUCACUGCAUGAUAAUGCUUUGCAUACCAGUCACUACAACUGAUACUACUAAUACUACUACCAGGCCUGAUAACUAGGAGAAAAUUAAUUUACCAUUUUGUGCUUGAAUCUUCUUUCAUAUACUUCCCCUGCUGUCUCUUACAUAUUAUAUAUACUUUUUUAAUUUUUAUUUUACUUCUUAAACCAGGGUCCAGAUAAUAUCCUUCUAUUGAAGGCUAACGGUGACACAAAUCUCCAAAAUUAAUGUUAUUUAAUUCAUUGUUACUAAUACAUUUUAAAUAUUGCCUAG